GCCGCGGUAGUAUAGCCCGGUCAAGUAUGCGGGCCUUUCGAGCCCGUGACCCGGGUUCAAAUCCCGGCCGCGGCACCA
rnacentral:tRNA from 9 species